AGGCCUGCGGGUUGUAAAGCACUUUCAGRARAGAAGAAAAGCGCGAGGUUAAUACCCUCGAGUCUUGACGUAACCUACAGAAGAAGCACCGGCUAACUCCGUGCCAGCAGCCGCGGUAAUACGGAGGGUGCGAGCGUUAAUCGGAAUUACUGGGCGUAAAGCGCGCGUAGGCGGUUUUGUCAGUCAGAUGUGAAAGCCCCGGGCUUAACCUGGGAAUUGCAUUUGAUACUGCAGAACUAGAGUAUGGUAGAGGGAAGUGGAAUUUCCGGUGUAGCGGUGAAAUGCGUAGAUAUCGGAAGGAACACCAGUGGCGAAGGCGACUUCCUGGUCCAACAUUGACGCUGAGGUGCGAAAGCGUGGGUAGCGAACAGGAUUAGAUACCCUGGUAGUCCACGCCGUAAACGAUGAGAACUAGAUGUCGGGAGGGUUUAGCCUCUCGGUGUCGCAGCUAACGCGUUAAGUUCUCCGCCUGGGGAGUACGGUGGCAACACUAAAACUCAAAGGAAUUGACGGGGACCCGCACAAGCGGUGGAGCAUGUGGUUUAAUUCGAUGCAACGCGAAGAACCUUACCUGCCCUUGACAUUGACAGAACCCUCUGGAGACAGAGGGGUGCUUCGGCCUGGAAAACAGGUGCUGCAUGGCUGUCGUCAGCUCGUGUCGUGAGAUGUUGGGUUAAGUCCCGCAACGAGCGCAACCCUUGUCCUUAGUUGCCAGCGAUU
rnacentral:rRNA from 1 species